rnacentral:lncRNA from 1 species
UAUUACAAUUAUUAUUUUAAUUGAGAUAUAACAUCUAUGCAGCAAAGUAUAUGAAUCUUAAGAGUGCGGCUCAAUGAAGAUUUUUUAAAAAGAAUUUUCAAUGUAUAUAUUAGACAGAGAGAGAAAACGAGAGAGUCAGAGCACGAGCCAGGGGAGGGGCAGAGGGAGAGGGAGGAGCAGGCUCUCCGCUGAGCAGGGAGCCCAAUGCAGGGCUCAGGGCUUGAUCCCAGGACCCUGGGAUCAUGACUGGACCCAAAGACAGAUAUUUAACCAACUGAUCCAUCCAGGCGCCCCUCAAUGAACCUUUACAUAUGUAUAUGUAUAUAACCACUGCCUACAUCAAAAUAUAGAAUAUUUCCACAUUUCCAGAACCUUGGGAUGUAUAUGCCCCUUCUGAGGCAACAGCCCUCCAAAGGUAGCCACUAAUGUGAUUUCUACUGCCAUAAGUUAAUUUUGCCUCUUAUUGAACUUUAUAUAAGUUAAAUCAUACACUGCAUGAUGUUUUUGCACCUGGCUUCUUUCACUCAACAUUAUAUCUGUGAGAUCCAUCCAUGUUGUUGCAUGUGGUCAUCGGAAUUCUUUUUCAUUACUGAGCAGUAUUUUAUUGCAUGAAUGUAAAUAUACAUGAUAUCUAAAUAAUCAUAAUCCAUUCAACUUCACAUUAGUGGAUAUUUAUGUUGCUUUCAGUUGUUGGCUAUUAUGAAUGAAGCUGCUCUGAACAUGCUUGUGGUUGUCUUUUGAUGAAUCCAUUAACAUUAUUUUGAGACACACACUUGACUUUUAAAAUAAGCAACAACAUACCACUUUCCACUUCUUCCCACUGAGCUGUGCCAUGCUGGGAUGAGAUUAUCAGAGCUCUGCACUGUGGAUGUAUCUGUGGGAGGAGAGGGCAGCCACCUGGACAGACCCAGCAAGCCUCCAACCACAACCGUGAAUCUUCAUGCCACCCCUGGCACAGCUGAGCCCCUGGCCAAGGUCACACAGCGUGUAAGCAGGGAAAAAAUGAGAAUCAGAGCUCUUAAAGGGAAGGGAGAAGAGUGGAAAAGAACAUUUUCGAAUGCCAAAUUAGAGACCUUGGUCAUGCUUUGUGUCUCUGUAUUCUCAGGACCCAGCAUAAUACCUAGCAUAGUAUUGGCCCUCAAUAAAUGCUUAUUGCGUCACUGAACAGAAGAGCAAACAAAUAGACCCACGCAUUCACAUGAAUAUUGCUUUUAAGCCUUGUUUUAGACGGGCUACCAACCGGGAUUUAUUGGAAUGGAGAAAUUGGCUGAAUGGGACCACAGGGUUGUCCCUGGCAGACUUUCACCUCAGCCAGGAAGGGUUUCUUGGCCCACUAGAUAAGGCUGGGUUAGAGAAUAUAUGUCAGGAAGCAGGGAGAAGGGGGCUGUAGAGAAGAGGAAGAGGCACUGGGAGAAGGGAAACCAUACGGACAGUGAAUGGACAUGUUUCACCGGGACGUGUUAGGUAUGGAGGCUUUGGGGGACUCAGCAUACAGGUGUCUGGGGCAAGAGGUCAGCCAGGGCGCCUGGGAGAUAAAGUUGCCGGCUUUGCCCUCUAGAAGCCUGGGGCCGGGCAAGCAGGUUUGCAAAGAAUGUGCAGCAAGGCCCGGGAAGACAGUCAGGGAUUCCUGCCCCCACCUCACGGAGGUGGGGAAUGUUCUCUUGCUCAUUCAUCCUUUGGGAUGACUCAUGGCUGAGCUAUCAAGAGUGCAGAAGGUUCCGGGGAGGAGGGCUGCUGCCUCGCCCAUCUGUGCACAGGCAGUCCUGGCAGCCUCGCAGCGCGAGUGUUCCCAGGCUGGCCACAGGGGGGCGAGAGGGAGCCAGGCCUGACGCUCCGGCCACCUGGGCGAUUGCAGCUCCAGGAGGAGCACUGGACUGGGAGUCUGGGGCCUGGGUGCUAGUCCUUCCUGGGCCUCCUACAUACUGGCCACCCUGGGCAAGUGACUUUCUCCCUCUGCACCUCAGUUAACUCCCUCUGCACCUCAGUGAUGGUACCCUUCCUGCCUAAAACCAGGAUGUCUCAUUUGUUAUUUGGGUUUAUGCCUCAGGUUGCAUAAGUCAGGGAAGUCUUCCUGGGUGAUAUAUGUAGUUAAUCAUACCUCCAGUCUGAUUCCCCGGAAAGACUAAGGGAAACUGCUUUCCUUGAGGUCAUGUCUCACAAAUCCAUCGGGAUGCAAAAAGGGAAUGAGAAGAACGUGAUGGCACCAGGCAGACUGUGCUAAAUGCUUUGCUUUCAGCCUCUCUGUGCAUCCUCAAAACUACCCUUAAGGCUAGACUUAAAGAUGAUGGGCAUCUUUUCUGAUUUUUUGCUUUUGUGCUGAGCUACACCUUAUAUGCAAUAAAGUACCCUAACCUUACAUGCGCAUACAGCUUCAUGGAUCUCUACCUAUGUAUACUCCUGUGUAACCACCCAGAUCAAGAUGCAGAGCAUUCUUCUAGUGCCCCAAAAGGCUCCUACAUGCUUCAUUCCAGUCAGUACCCACCAAAGGUAACCUUUAUUCUGACUUCAAAAUACUAUUUUUGCCCAUUACACAGAUGAGGAUGCUUGAGGCUCAGCAAUACGAAGUGACUUGCCCUAGCUAUUCGUGGCUAGAAAUAGCACUACUGAUGCUUUUGGAGCCAUUGAGUGUGUGGAGAAUUUGAACGAGGUUGCCAGUGCUAGAGCCUUGCGGCACCAUUCAGCAGCUGUCCAGCCUGCUCCUACCUACCCUCCACAUGGCAGCCAGUAUCAGGCAGGGAACAUCUUGGUUUCCACUGGUUGAGGCUGUGUCCUCCCUCCACCCCUCCUGUUCAUCCGGGCUGGUGCCAGAGUGCCUCACCUUGACCAGAAGGCUCCCCCCGCCACCCC